rnacentral:misc_RNA from 1 species
UGAUUUUAAAUUAUAGCCAAAUUCUGCUCUGCCCUAAACAAGACUAUGCUAAAUUCAUAUAUAUGAUGGAUCGAUUGUAGUAUUUACUCAAAUUCUGCAAUUCGGUAGAAUUUCUUAAGGUUGAGCUAAUGUAUCGAAUGGUUUUGAAUUCUCCAAACCCUAUAACACCGUUGUGAUGUGGAUCUCCAAUCAGCAAAAAAAUGCAAUGUUAUUAAGAAUUUCAAUAGUGAAAAAAUUUCACAAUUUCAGGCUGAGACAAGUUGCAAUUAUUAGUGGUAUCAGAGAACAAUUUCAUUAUGAUAUUUUAAAUUUAAGAGAUGAACUUUAUUGUAAAUGCCUUAUGACUAUUUCUCAAUGAAAUUUAUUUCUUUGCUCUAAAAAAACAUUAUGUUUGUCUUCUACUGAUAGGAAAAGAAAUAUGACUGAGAGACACAUACCAGCACUUCCCCACAA